GUGAACGCUGGCGGUAGGCCUAACACAUGCAAGUCGAACGGCAGCACAGUAAGAGCUUGCUCUUACGGGUGGCGAGUGGCGGACGGGUGAGGAAUACAUCGGAAUCUACUUUUUCGUGGGGGAUAACGUAGGGAAACUUACGCUAAUACCGCAUACGACCUACGGGUGAAAGCAGGGGAUCUUCGGACCUUGCGCGAUUGAAUGAGCCGAUGUCGGAUUAGCUAGUUGGCGGGGUAAAGGCCCACCAAGGCGACGAUCCGUAGCUGGUCUGAGCGGAUGAUCAGCCACACUGGAACUGAGACACGGUCCAGACUCCUACGGGGGGCAGCAGUGGGGAAUAUUGGACAAUGGGCGCAAGCCUGAUCCAGCCAUACCGCGUGGGUGAAGAAGGCCUUCGGGUUGUAAAGCCCUUUUGUUGGGAAAGAAAAGCAGCAGGUUAAUACCCCGCUGUUCUGACGGUACCCAAAGAAUAAGCACCGGCUAACUUCGUG
rnacentral:rRNA from 1 species